GCGGUCGUGGCGGAAUUGGUAGACGCGCUGGAUUUAGGUUCCAGUGCCGCAAGGUGUGAGAGUUCGAGUCUCUCCGACCGCACCA
rnacentral:tRNA from 1 species